AGGGCUUUAGCUUAAUUAAAGUAUCUGAUUUGCAGUCAGAAGAUGUGAGUUAAUUUCUUGCAAGUCUUA
rnacentral:tRNA from 2 species